CGCCCGACCGGAUCCCGUGGGGGGAAUCCGUUGUCGGGGACAUGGGAAGCGCCCCGCUCGUCGAC
rnacentral:ncRNA from 1 species